rnacentral:rRNA from 1 species
GAUUAGAUACCCUAGUAUAAAAAAUUUAAUAUAAUUAUUAUGUACGAGAAAAUUAAAAUUUUUGGCGGUUGAUUUUGGAAUUAGAGGAGCUUGUUUUUAGAAAUUACUCUUUAUAUUUUAUUAAUUUAUGUUUAUUUAUCUCCGUUUUUAGAUGAAAGUUUUAUAAGUUUUUGUUUAUAUUUCAGGUCAAGAUGUAGCGUUGAUUGAGAUUAAUUAGCUACAUUAAUGGAAUUAUGAAUUUUAGAAAGAAAAUUAUAAAUGAAAUUGAAUUUAAUUGUAAUUUUAUUUAGAAUAAUAAGAUGAAAUUUUAUGAUUAAUGUACAUAUUGCCCGUCACUUCUUUUGUUAAAGGGAAUAAGUCGUAACAAAGUA